UUGAAAACCACUAAAUUAAUGUCUCAUAUGGCUACAUUUCUUAAGAAGUGUGGGUUUUAUUUCGCCUUCGACGAUAUUAUCGGACCUUUUUUCGGUUCAAGCGAAGUUAUUAGCAGUUGAAAGCAAAGCUCGCGAAUAGCCUAUACUCGCUAGAAAUAGUCUAGCCGAUAUCUAAAAUGAAUAAUCUUAUUUUGUGGUUCAAUUAUAAUUUAAAGCUGAUUUCAAGGAGAAUGUGUAUAGAUUUACUUGUUUUUUUUUUCGUCCAGGAGACGGAGCAGGCAUGGAAUUCCAAUUGCUGCAUGCGCAAGUCUGGAAAAUGGAAGUCACCGCCUCCAGGAGGUUGAUCGGUUGGAAAUUCUCCAUGCAGUUUUCCCUUUCCCAAUUCCACAUAAAACUACUUAACACAAUUAAUAUGUUCAAACUCAUAUGGAAAACUAACAGCGAAACAAAUGGCUGUUUACAAUGCAUACAAUGCAGAGUUGGACUUGUAUUUUUCUUAUUAUUUGCAGUAUGCAGAGCGUGUGUCAUUGCUGUGACUGGAUCCGACACCACUACCGUCACUUGAGCGCAUAAUUCCAUUCUCUGCUGGACCAGAUGGGAGGAGAUAUCACAAAGCAGAAUGCCCCUGUCCUUUUCUCAACAUCACUUUACAGACCCAUAGAUGCCGAGUUUGAGGACAAAGUCAGAUUCCGGAACGAGGUCAUCUAUAAAAUCACAAAACUGUUUGAUGGGAAUAAGAAGUCCGUCACCUGGGACAAGAAAAACCUGGACGAUUUACUUAAAAUUCUAGAAAACUAAUUUGAAAACCUUAAUUCCUGUGUAAGUAACGGGUCUAUUUAAAGUAUAAUCCCUGUUCAUGUCAGGGUUGUCCAAUCCCGUUUAUGUUGAGUUACCCUCCUGUAAGUUUUCGCUCCAACCCCAGUUGUAACUAACCUGGUUAAGUUUAUCAACUACCUAAUUAAUCAGGUGUGGUAGAUUAGGGUUGGAGUGAAAACCUACAGGAAUGUAGUUCUCCAGGAACAGGGUUGGAGAGCCCUGGUUUAGCUGUAGCCUACUGACUCUACAAGUGGAGAAAUGGACUUAUAAAGGACAUAUAAUGUGUUCAACUUUUUCCACAUUUUGUUACCUUACAGACUUUUUCUAAAAUUGAUUAAAUGGAUUUUUCCCCUCUUCAGUUUAUACACAAUACCCGAUAAUGACAAAGCAAAAACCGUGUUUUAGAUAUUUUUUCAAACAUAAUAACAAUACAAAACUGAAAUAUCACAUUUACGUAAGUAUUCAGACCCUUUACUCAGAACUUUGUUGAAGCACCUUUGGCAGUGAUUACAGGCUUGAGUCUUCUUGGCUAUCAUGCUACAAGCCUGGCACAUCUGUAUUUGAGGAGUUUCUGCCAUUCUUCUCUGCAGAUCCUCUCAAGUUCUAUCCGGUUGGAUAGGGAGCGUCGCUGUACAGUGAUUUUCAGGUCACUCUAGAGAUGUUUGUUCAUUUUAGCGUAAGUCUGGGCUCUUGCUGGGACACUCAAGGACAUUCAGAGACUUGUCCCAAAGACACUCCUGCAUCGUCUUGGCUGUAUGCUUAGGGUAUUUGUCCUGAUGGAAGGUGAACCCUCGCCCCAGUCUGAGGUCCUGUGCGCCCUGGAGCAGGUUUUCAUCAAGGAUAUCUCUGUACUUUGCUCUCUUCAUCGUUUACCUUGAUCCUGACUAGUCUCCCAGUCCCUGCCAAUGAAAAACAUCCCCACAGCAUGAUGCUGCCACCACCAUACUUAACUAUAGGGAUAGUGCAAGGUUUCCUCCAGAUGUGAUGCUUGGCA